CAAAAUAUAGCUUAACCAAAGCUUCUCGCUUACACCGAGAAGACGUCUGUUUGAACCAGAUUAUUUUGAG
rnacentral:tRNA from 1 species